rnacentral:rRNA from 1 species
AGAGCGAACGCUGGCGGCAGGCCUAACACAUGCAAGUCGAGCGCCCGUAGCAAUACGGGAGCGGCAGACGGGAUAGUAACACGUGGGAACGCGCCCUUCGGUUCGGAAUAACUCAGGGAAACUUGAGCUAAUACCGGAUACGCCCUUACGGGGAAAGAUUUAUUGCCGAAGGAACGGCCCGCGUCCGAUUAGCUAGUUGGUGAGGUAAUGGCUCACCAAGGCGACGAUCGGUAGCUGGUCUGAGAGGAUGACCAGCAUCACUGGGACUGAGACACGGCCCAGACUCCUACGGGAGGCAGCAGUGGGGAAUAUUGGACAAUGGGCGCAAGCCUGAUCCAGCAAUGCCGCGUGGGUGAAGGAAGGUCUUCGGAUUGUAAAGCCCUUUCGACGGGGACGAUGAUGACGGUACCCGUAGAAGAAGCCCCGGCUAACCUCGUGCCAGCAGCCGC